ensembl:lncRNA
UAUUUAUUUUUUCCCGACAUUUCCUGUCAGCUGUUAGGAUGUGAGGGAAGUGCUGAUUUACCGUAAAACGAGGAGGAGGUCUGUGGAUGAUCACUCAAUGAUGAACACUAGCCAUUGUGCCAGCAUCUGUGAUUGGUCAUGGCCGUGAUCUCUGACGUGCCGCGUGACGCUGCUCUCAUCUCCUGAUCGCCGCAUCACUCCGGCGUCUGUCUCAAAAUUGGCUUUGUGCUCUGUGUCUCAAAAUUGUGCUGCUGCACAAAAACUUUCUCAUGACUGAUGAGGAGACAAACCAACUGUGAUUUCAGUCUCAGAAAUCACUGCACACUUUAAUGUGUGAGGGCAUCAUGAAGCGUCCGAAUCUAAUUUGUGGGUGGCUUCUCUCGCACUUGAUUAUGUUGCUGGGGGUAUACUCACAUGAUGACUGAAAAAUCACAGUUAUGUCAUGAAGGGGAAACUUCUGUUUAGAAGAAAGUAGUCUGUGUAUUUGAAACCUCAAAAACUGCCAUAAAAGUGGUCAAUAUAA